AAGAGCUACACGAGCUGGGUUAAAUACGUCGUGAGACAGUAUGGUUUCUAUCUUCUAGAGGAAAUUAGAGUAAAAUAAGGAUAGCCCCUUCGUACGAAAGGAGUUGGGUAUGGUAACCUAUGGUUUACCUGUUGUUUAUACGCUUGAUAUUAAUAUGAUAAAUUGAAAGUGAGAAUAGGUGCUCUUUAAAGAGUAGGAAAGCUACUAAGUAAGGAGAGUAAUAAGAAUGAGAUCUACUCAUUUCCUAUCGGAACUAGAAAAGGUAAUACUUUUAUACUCAAGUAUUUAUGAAAAGUAUAGGCACGGCAGGAAAGCUAUGUUAGUUAAGAUAAGUGCUGAAUGCAUUUAGGCACGAAGCUUACCU
rnacentral:rRNA from 1 species